rnacentral:lncRNA from 1 species
CACCUUUGGAACCCACUGACUAUGCUGUGAGGAAGACAAGAAGCCACAUGGAAAAGCCACAUGCAGAUGUUCCAGUCUCAGCCCCAGCUGAAGACUCAGCCGAUACCAGCAUCCACCUCCAGCUGACAGCAGCAUCCACCUCCAGAUAUGUAAAGCCUGGGUAAAGCAGAGCAACUAUCAACAUCUAGUCAAACCUGAGGCCCUGCAGUCUGCAUUAACAAUUGAAACUUCUGCAAUGCAUUUCCGAAGGCUCCUUAGAAGAUCUCACAGAACCAAGCAGCAGUUUUCCGAAGCAGCAACCAAGUGAAGAGUGCUUCUUUGCACUGACUAUCCUUCCUCCUUUUUCACUCUCCAGUCCCACCAUUGCUCCCUGGGAUCACUUCCCAAAUAGGCUAUCUACAGCAAAGCAUUUGUCUCCACUCUGCUUUCUCUUUAAAAGUAGUAAAUGCAGUUGUGCGCCACCCAGAUCUCCCCUUCCGGCCCACAGCACUCAUUCCAGCUGCUGCCAGGACCCUUGCCUGCCAGUGGUUCACAAUUGAGUACCUUUCAUUAUGUUGUCCUGGCCAAAGGGAGCUGCUUCAUCCAAGCUGACAGCCCCUCCCACAGCCUAACCCAAUGGCUGGUAGAUUUGGGGGUAAAGUAGCCUUGCCUCAAUUUUAGACAUCUCUGAAGGGCAAGCUCAGCUCCAGAAACAUCCAGGGGAUCCACCAAACCCUUUGUUGCAGCUGCAUCACAGUUCAACCUCUCCCUCUGCUUGCUCCUGCUCCUUACUCCCUUACAGCUGUUGUUCUCGAGAACACAUCCCAAUAUACCUCCUGCAUGUAAAUAUCCACCCCAGAGUACAUUUCCUAGGAAAUAUGAUCUAAGACACUUAACCAAGACAAUUGGUACCAGUAGUAGCCUAAAAAACAGACCCUUAGGAUGAGAUUUUGGAAGAAAAUCACUCACAGACAACAAUAAGACCCCACUGCAAUUCCUGAGACUCUCAGUUGUGAGAGGUUGAAAUGAAGUGCAGGUGGAAGGUGAAGGGCUAGGAAGCAGUAGCCAUGAUAGGUAAUGGUGGUAAAGUUAAUUAUAAUGAUUGUAGUAGUGGCCUGAAAUGUUUUUGAUUUGAAAGGUUUUGUAGGGACUAAACAGGUGGAUUGUGCAGAGAUAUGAUAGGGAUCUCUACUCCUGAAUUCUCUAAGUGUUGAUGGAGGUGAUAGUCACUGCAUUUUCUCUGGACUGUGGGAUUACUUCUGAUUCAUUUUCUUAGCUGAGGGGUAAGGGGGACAGUUUCAGAGGUUUAUAGAAUGACUGGUCUCUCAGCAACACAACCAACACAACAUUACCAUUUUACAGAGACAGGGGUGUGACAGUGGGCACAUGAGCACAAGAUACACUAGUUUUAUACCAAAGCAUCUAGCUUAUUAGAUGGUUACAUGACCUUUUAUAGGUUCAGGUAACUCUCCAAUUCAAGGACAACAUUCUGGGAACAGGAGGGAGAGCACAGCCUUGCUAUAUAUAUAUAAUGGAAUAUUAUUUAGCCUUAAAAAGGAAUGAAAUUCUGAUACAUGCUACAAAAUGGAUGGACAUAGAAGGGAUUACACUAAGUGAAAUAAGCCAGACAUAAAAGGACAAAUAUUGUAUGAUUCCACUUAUAUGAGGUACCUAGAAUAGGCAAGUUCAUAGAGACAGAAAGUAUAAUAGAGGUUAUCAGGGGCGAAGGGCAGGGAGAAAUGGGAGUUAUUAUUUUAAUGGAUAGAAAAUAUAAAGUUUCUGUUUGGGAUGAUGAAAAAGUUCUAGAAAUGGAUAGUAGUGAAGCUUGCACAACAUUGUGAAUAUACUUAAUGCCAAUGAAUUGUGCACUUCAAAAUAGUUAAAAUGGUGUUUUAUGUUAUGUAUAUAUAUAUUUGUGUGUGUGGGUGGGUGGGUGGGUGGGUGUGUGGAAGAUUGGCCCUGAGCUAACAUGCGCUGCCAAUCUUCCUCUUUAUGCUUGAGGAAGAUUGUCAUUAAGCUAACAUCUGUGCCAAUCUUCCUCUAUUUUAUGUAGGGUACUGCCACAGCCUGGCUUGACAAGUGGUGCUAGGUCCAUGCCCAGGAUCCAAGCCUGCAAACCCUGGGCCACCAAAGCAGAGCACACAAACUUAACCAUUAUGCCACCGGGCUGACAGAAAUGUUACAUAUAUUUUAUCACAAUAAAAAAAUUAAGACAAUUUACUGAAGUUUUCCAUUUUUGUUCAAUAUUUGAGUGGCAUAGUCUUCUGGAAUGCAAGCUAGAAUACGGUUAAAAGAAUUCCACUUACCUUGCUUUAUUUCUUCAUAUGAACACACUCCAUAGUAUUAGAGUAAGUAAUCAUGCAAUUAAGGUGGAAAGUGAUAACAACAUUAUUCACUGAACCAAUGUGUAUUUUAUUUACUCACUAAUCCAGCUAUGGAAAUUAUACACGUCAGAUAAAUAUGUGUUUUGCCAGUCUUGCAACUUUUAGGGCAUAGGCAGUCUUGCAAGAAAUUCCCAUGAGUAGUUAGUUCUCUUCUGUAUUCAUAUACAACAUAAUAAGUUCUUAGUCUAAGUGCAUCAUUAUAUUUCCUGGGAAUCCCCUCAGAGAUUGAUAAAAAUGAUAAAUUAGCCAUUGAUGCAAGAUCUGUUACUUUUCUUUUGUGUAAUUCCACAGGAAAUUUCAAAAUAAAACUCUGCCAUAUAACCUGUAAUAGUAGAAAAUAUCCAAAUGCACUCAUAAAUUGGAGCAGAGGAUGUGUAACUAGAUAAAGUGGAAGAAUUGAUAAACAAUAUAAAAAAGUAGGUUUUGUUUUUAUUACUUAACUGAAAUAUUCACAGCGACACAAUCAUUGCUUUUGCAAUACAUGCAAGUUAUUGUUUCUGUAUUUAGAAUUAGUAUUUUCGGGCCUGAAAUAUUGAUUAUUAUUUCCCCUGAGAUCAUAUAAAUCAUUUUAAUAUGCUUAUGUGGUUCAUAUUUCACUAAGGUAAUACUUAUUUCUUAUGCAAUUAUAACUCAAAUAAAUCAUUCU